rnacentral:rRNA from 1 species
GGGGAAUAUUGCACAAUGGGCGCAAGCCUGAUGCAGCCAUGCCGCGUGUGUGAAGAAGGCCUUCGGGUUGUAAAGCACUUUCAGCGAGGAGGAAGGGUAGUGUGUUAAUAGCACAUUGCAUUGACGUUACUCGCAGAAGAAGCACCGGCUAACUCCGCGCCAGCAGCCGCGGUAAUACGGAGGGUGCAAGCGUUAAUCGGAAUUACUGGGCGUAAAAGCGCACGCAGGCGGUUUGUUAAGUCAGAUGUGAAAUCCCCGCGCUUAACGUGGGAACUGCAUUUGAAACUGGCAAGCUAGAGUCUUGUAGAGGGGGGUAGAAUUCCAGGUGUAGCGGUGAAAAUGCGUAGAGAUCUGGAGGAAUACCGGUGGCGAAGGCGGCCCCCCUGGACAAAAGACUGACGCUCAGGUGCGAAAAGCGUGGGGAGCAAAAACAGGAUUAGAUACCCUGGUAGUCCACGCUGUAAAACGAUGUCGACUUGGAGGUUGUGCCCUUGAGGCGUGGCUUCCGGAGCUAACGCGUUAAGUCGACCGCCUGGGGGAGUACGGCCGCAAGGUUAAAA